AGCGAACGUUUGCGGCGGGCCUAACACAUGCAAGUCGAACGCACUAGCAAUAGUGAGUGGCGCACGGGUGCGUAACACGUGGGUAAUCAACCCUUCAGCUUGGGAUAACGACUUGAAAGGGUCGCUAAGUACCGGAUACCGGCGCGGGAGGCUUCGGCCUUCUCACGAGAAAGCCUCGCAAGGGGCACUGAAGGACGAGCCUGCGGCCCAUCAGCUAGUUGGUGAGGUAAGAGCUCACCAAGGCGAAGACGGGUAGCUGGUCUGAGAGGAUGAGUCAGCCACACUGGAACCUGAGACACGGUCCAGACUCCUACGGGAGGCAGCAGUGGGAAUAUUGCGCAAUGGGCGAAAGCCUGACGC
rnacentral:rRNA from 1 species